rnacentral:rRNA from 1 species
AACGAACGCUGGCGGCAGGCCUAACACAUGCAAGUCGAGCGCGCCCUUCGGGGUGAGCGGCGGACGGGUGAGUAACGCGUGGGAACGUGCCCUUUUCUACGGAAUAGCCUCGGGAAACUGAGAGUAAUACCGUAUACGCCCUUUGGGGGAAAGAUUUAUCGGAAAAGGAUCGGCCCGCGUUGGGUUAGGUAGUUGGUGGGGUAAUGGCCUACCAAGCCGACGAUCCAUAGCUGGUUUGAGAGGAUGAUCAGCCACACUGGGACUGAGACACGGCCCAGACUCCUACGGGAGGCAGCAGUGGGGAAUCUUAGACAAUGGGGGCAACCCUGAUCUAGCCAUGCCGCGUGAGUGAUGAAGGCCUUAGGGUUGUAAAGCUCUUUCAGCUGGGAAGAUAAUGACGGUACCAGCAGAAGAAGCCCCGGCUAACUCCGUG